rnacentral:tmRNA from 1 species
GGGGGCGAAACGGAUUCGACGGGGAUAUAGAAGCUCAAAGUAGCAUGCCGAGGUCUGCUUACUCGUAAAAAAGGCGGAAAACUUAUAAUCGCUGACGAUUAUAACUACGCUGUAGCAGCUUA